CAGCCGCCACGGUAAUACAGAGGGUGCGAGCGUUAAUCGGAUUUACUGGGCGUAAAGCGUGCGUAGGCGGCUUUUUAAGUCGGAUGUGAAAUCCCUGAGCUUAACUUAGGAAUUGCAUUCGAUACUGGGAAGCAAGAGUAUGGGAGAGGAUGGUAGAAUUCCAGGUGUAGCGGUGAAAUGCGUAGAGAUCUGGAGGAAUACCGAUGGCGAAGGCAGCCAUCUGGCCUAAUACUGACGCUGAGGUACGAAAGCAUGGGGAGCAAACAGGAUUAGAUACCCCUGUAGUCCCUGUCUCUUAUAC
rnacentral:rRNA from 1 species